CGAAGGGGCUAGCGUUGUUCGGAAUUACUGGGGCGUAAAGCGCACGUAGGCGGAUAUUUAAGUCAGGGGUGAAAUCCCGGGGCUCAACCCCGGAACUGCCUUUGAUACUGGGUAUCUCGAGUCCGAGAGAGGUGAGUGGAAUUCCGAGUGUAGAGGUGAAAUUCGUAGAUAUUCGGAGGAACACCAGUGGCGAAGGCGGCUCACUGGCUCGGUACUGACGCUGAGGUGCGAAAGCGUGGGGAGCAAACAGGAUU
rnacentral:rRNA from 1 species